rnacentral:rRNA from 1 species
UACGGGGGGGGCAAGCGUUGUUCGGAAUUACUGGGCGUAAAGGGCUUGUAGGUGGCCAACUAAGUCAGACGUGAAAUCCCUCGGCUUAACCGGGGAACUGCGUCUGAUACUGGAUGGCUUGAGUUUGGGAGAGGGAUGCGGAAUUCCAGGUGUAGCGGUGAAAUGCGUAGAUAUCUGGAGGAACACCGGUGGCGAAGGCGGCAUCCUGGACCAAUACUGACACUGAGGAGCGAAAGCCAGGGGAGCAAACGGG